UGUCAUCCAUAGUGCUUUAUGAUAUAGCUUUCAGGAGGAUGUUGCAUGACCUUACUGAGCACUGUAGUGAGGCCGAGUGGUCCAUAGUUCCCAGAGUUCUCCUUUUUAAAAAUGAGUAUGAUGUUUGCCUUUUUCCAGCCACUGGAGACUUAGUGACUACAUCUGCCAGUUCCCUCCAGACCCUGGGAUGCACCUCAUUGGGUCCCACAGACUUGUACAUUC